UACGAAGGGGGCUAGCGUUGCUCGGAAUCACUGGGCGUAAAGCGCACGUAGGCGGACUCUUAAGUCGGUGGUGAAAUCCUGGAGCUCAACUCCAGAACUGCCUUCGAUACUGGCGAUCUUGAGUCCGGGAGAGGUGAGUGGAACUGCGGGUGUAGAGGUGAAAUUCGUAGAUAUUCGCAAGAACACCAGUGGCGAAGGCGGCUCACUGGCCCGGUACUGACGCUGAGGUGCGAAAGCGUGGGGAGCAAACAGG
rnacentral:rRNA from 1 species